AUCUGUCAGUGAAUGACCCUGCAUGGCAGGUCUGUGUAUGGGCGAUCAACUUCAAUGAAUGCAAGUCCCUAUAGGGGAAAACAAGCACCAGCAACAUGUCAGUGAUGGCACUAAGGGCAGUUCCCCAGUCCCUACUGGAAGAUUCAAGGGAGUGAAUAUCAUGGUCCCAGAACAAGUCUAGCCAUUGCUGUCUUCCUGACAACUCCCGGGAAAGCUGCCAUCACUCACAUGGAUUUACUAGCAAUUCUUGGCUGCGCCUACUCACAGAUACCACAGCUGUCUGCUAAGCCUGUACAUGCUCCAUGCAGGUCAGAACUGAUUCAGGACUUUUAUAAAGCACAGGCUUUCACAUCAGCUAAGCAUAGGGAAUUGAAACAAAUACAUACUAGGAGUGUGAUACACAUUGCAUCCUGCAGGAGACAGCCAUGCAAAUACGCAUGCCCAUGCAUGCGCACACAGUCAUAUUGCAUAACCAGAAAAUGAAUGGUUCUGAUCUCAAUCUUUGCAAAUCAGACACAGGUAUAAGUGAAAUGGAAGGACUUAAAUAGUAUGGAGAAAAGAAUAGGAAGCAAAGAUGUAGGAGCAUCUUUUGUAGGACUCAAUGGGCCACAAACCCUGAGUCUCUGAUGCUCUUCCCAAUUCGUGGAAAUAGCUCAAUAUAAAAAAAUAAAGAGGGAACAUGGACAAUGCCCUGAUUGGGAAAAUCAGUCGGCCUGCAUCAUUUCCAUCAUCUUCUCAGCUCCCCUUCCAAUGCUGGGCCAGCCCCCGGAGGCCUGCUAGACGUGACGAAUUGGCUGAAGCAACCCAUACAAGAUGAGGCAGACGAUCUGGUUUCAAUAAAAUUAGUGAAUUGCUUCAUGGAUGGAUGGGAAAGUUGUGAAGCUCCAGGAUUUGCUCCCCUCACAGCUGGAUUCUGUUUGCCCAUGACUGUUUCCCUUUAUUAUUACUGUUUACACUAUCUAUUUAUUUUGAGAUGUGUAUUUAGUGCCAGGUGCUAGAUUGACAGCGCUGGAGAAUGACAUGGUCCUCAAAACACGUACAGCAUGGGCAGCGGCAGUCGGGUGAAUUUCCUCCGUGCACUGCCUCACGUGGGUGCCUCCAUCCUGAUCUGGAGAGACCACCACGAAGGCUUUUUGGGAAGCAGAGCAACGUCAGGGGUUUGUCAAGCGUACUCCGUAACAACAUGACAUACAGCAAUUACAUCCCCAAUAGUCAACUUGGCCUGCUUCCCUCGCCUGCCUUUAUUACAGUCUCUAACCUAGCCUAAGAGGACUUUCUGCUGUGUAUUUAGAUGAACA